AUGCUAGUCAUGGACUGAAGUCCUCUGUUUAUCUACAGAACAGAGACAGUUUGGCCAGUAGCAAUGCAGGCUUCCUACAUUCCCCUGCCAAUGUGUGUCAGCACGCAGGUAUGUGCUAUUAAGUGCAUUGCUUUCCACAAUCAGAGUGCA
rnacentral:sRNA from 1 species